rnacentral:tRNA from 1 species
GCCAGUGUGACGGAAUUGGUAGACGUAUCACCGCAGUGAUCCUAUGGCUCAGCUGUGGGUUCGACCCCUGCCGCUGGCA